UACGGGGGGGGGCAAGCGUUGUUCGGAAUUACUGGGCGUAAAGGGUUCGUAGGUGGCCAACUAAGUCAGACGUGAAAUCCCUCAGCUUAACUGGGGAACUGCGUCUGAUACUGGUCUGGCUUGAGUGCAGGAGAGGAACGCGGAAUUCCAGGUGUAGCGGUGAAAUGCGUAGAUAUCUGGAGGAACACCGAUGGCGAAGGCAGAUCUCUGGGCCGUAACUGACGCUGAGGAGCGAAAGCAUGGGGAGCGAACAGG
rnacentral:rRNA from 1 species